rnacentral:lncRNA from 1 species
UUCAGCGUUCUUGUGUUAUCCUCUGCAUUCUCGUGAAUGUUUCGUACAAGUGUUUUUUUUUUUCUCCCAUUGCGUGGCAGUUCGUAAGCAAUGCUUCCUUGUGUUUUGCAUUGAGUGGUGCACGUUUGCAUCACUGUUUUUCUUCUUCUUUAAAGACGUUUG